rnacentral:rRNA from 1 species
GAUGAACGCUGGCGGCAUGCCUUACACAUGCAAGUCGAACGGCAGCACGGGUGCUUGCACCUGGUGGCGAGUGGCGAACGGGUGAGUAAUAUAUCGGAACGUACCUUAUUGUGGGGGAUAACGCAGCGAAAGCUGUGCUAAUACCGCAUAAUCCCUAAGGGGGAAAGCGGGGGACCGUAAGGCCUCGCGCAAUUAGAGCGGCCGAUACCUGAUUAGCUAGUUGGUGAGGUAAAGGCUCACCAAGGCAACGAUCAGUAGCUGGUCUGAGAGGACGAUCAGCCACACUGGGACUGAGACACGGCCCAGACUCCUACGGGAGGCAGCAGUGGGGAAUUUUGGACAAUGGGGGCAACCCUGAUCCAGCAAUGCCGCGUGAGUGAAGAAGGCCUUCGGGUUGUAAAGCUCUUUUGUCAGGGAAGAAACAGCAGCUCUAACACAGUUUGCGAAUGACGGUACCUGAAGAAUAAGCACCGGCUAACUACGUGCCAGCCGCCGCUGUAA